rnacentral:lncRNA from 1 species
CCCCAUUACAACAAUAAGUUCACAGAUGUAUUUGAAUAAAUAGACUGAAAAGUGAGAUUCAAGUAAGACGGCAGCAGUUCCACAUUCAAACAAUAACUUUCUUGUUAGCAUAUGCUUUUUCCACAGUUAGGGAAAUUCAAAACAGACAAAACUAUUAACUGCUUUACUUAUUCAUUGUAAGCAUGCUUGCUACAGGAAGAACCUUUGCAUGUAUAGAACUCAGAGUCAAACAUGGAGCUUUUAGAAUUUAAGUACGCAUGUUUACUUAAUACAGAUCAAACCAGUCAAUCAUAAUAUCCACAUUACCCGAAAGAUAGUAAAUAACAACAGGGCUGAUCACUGUUAGAGCAAU